rnacentral:tRNA from 1 species
AGGGUUAUAGGUUAAGUUAAACCUUUGGCCUUCAAAGCCGAGAAUGAGUAAUCUGACCUUG